GUGAAAUAGGAGAAAGAGGAAACAGCUAGCAUGACCAUACUUUUGCUCUCUGGCUGUCAUAUAAACUGCACAGCUUUGCCAUGCCCUCCCCACCCCACCAUAAUAAACUGAAAACUGAGCAGAGCUGAGCUUUCCUUCCCUUAAGUUGUUUAUGUCUGGUGUGCUGCCACAGGGAUGAGGAAGCCAAAAUGGUUUCUUAGUACUUUAGGCGGCUUGCAGCUUACUCUCCCAGUUGUUACUCAUGACUGUGACAGCAGCAACAACAGAACACAGGUGCACUUUUCCUGCCAUGGAGAAGUAGCAGCAUCAGGAAAUGCUAUGUCUCCUUUUUAACAUCUGUCUCCUCUGCCUUUCCCAGUACCAGUUCAAGUUGAGGUACCUGUUCUGGCUUACUUCUGGAUGGUAUUUUCAUCCAGAGUCUGUUAAGAUUUGCACUUGGUGUACACUGCUGCAAGACCAGGGGAAAGCUGUGCUCACACCAGAGGGGGAACUGUCAGGCCACAGCUGGGCUGCUUUUGGAACCUUUCAGUGUGGCUCAGAUAAUUUCUCUCUCUCCUUGCUAGAUUGUGUGAGGUAGGACCACUUUUCAGUAGUCUCUCAUACAAUGCAUGGCAGCCCAAGUUGCCAAGUUGUGCUUUGUACUGAGGUUGGUUUUAAGCUGCAGGCUGAGAAUCAAAAAUAAGGAAAGAUCCCUGCCUUGACCUCAUGUGUUGAAAAGCAGGAUAUGAGUCUAUA
rnacentral:lncRNA from 1 species